rnacentral:rRNA from 1 species
GAUCAACGCUAGCUACAGGCUUAACACAUGCUAGUCGAGGGACCGGCGCUCGGGUGCGUAACACGUAUCCAACCUUCCCUUUCCUCGGGGAUAGCCUUUCCAAAGUAAGAUUAAUACUCGAUAUAAAGGAUGGGGUUGCGUGCCAUUAGGUUGUUGGCGGGGUAACGGUUCACCAAUCCUUCGAUGGAUAGGGGUUCUGAGAGGAAGGGGCCCCACAGUGGAACGGAGACACGGUCCAAACUCCUACGGGAGGCAGCAGUGAGGAAUAUUGGUCAAUGGGCGCGAGCCUGAACCAGCCAAGUAGCGUGAAGGAUGAAGGCUUAUGGGUCGUAAACUUCGUGUAUAGAAGAAGAUGUAGUAUAUGAAUAAGGAACGGCUAACUACGUGCCAGCCGCCGCGGUAAUAC